rnacentral:rRNA from 1 species
UACGGAGGGGGCUAGCGUUGUUCGGAAUUACUGGGCGUAAAGGGCACGUAGGCUGGCUGUUAAGUCGGUGGUGAAAUGCUGAGGCUCAACCUCAGAAUUGCCUUCGAUACUGACGGUCUUGAGUGCGGGAGAGGUGAGUGGAAUUCCCAGUGUAGAGGUGAAAUUCGUAGAUAUUGGGAAGAACAUCAGUGGCGAAGGCGGCGUUCUGGACUGCAACUGACACUGAGGAACGAAAGCCAGGGGAGCAAACCGG